GUGAGGAAUAUUGGACAAUGGGCGCAAGCCUGAUCCAGCCAUGCCGCGUGCAGGAAGACGCAUCUAUGGUGUGUAAACUGCUUUUGUACGGGAAGAAACACUCCCUCGUGAGGGAGCUUGACGGUACCGUAAGAAUAAGGAUCGGCUAACUCCGUGCCAGCAGCCGCGGUAAUCCGGAGGAUCCAAGCGUUAUCCGGAAUCACUGGGUUUAAAGGGUCCGUAGGCGGUUUAAUAAGUCAGUGGUGAAAGCCCAUCGCUCAACGAUGGAACGGCCAUUGAUACUGUUAGACUUGAAUUACAAGGAAGUAACUAGAAUAUGUAGUGUAGCGGUGAAAUGCUUAGAUAUUACAUGGAAUACCAAUUGCGAAGGCAGGUUACUACUUGUGGAUUGACGCUGAUGGACGAAAGCGUGGGGAGCGAACAGGAUUAGAUACCCGAGUAGUCC
rnacentral:rRNA from 1 species